UACGGAGGGUGCAAGCGUUAUCCGGAUUCACUGGGUUUAAAGGGUGCGUAGGCGGGCAGGUAAGUCAGUGGUGAAAUCCUAGAGCUUAACUCUAGAACUGCCAUUGAUACUAUCUGUCUUGAAUAUUGUGGAGGUAAGCGGAAUAUGUCAUGUAGCGGUGAAAUGCUUAGAUAUGACAUAGAACACCUAUUGCGAAGGCAGCUUACUACGCAUAUAUUGACGCUGAGGCACGAAAAGCGUGGGGGAUCAAACAGG
rnacentral:rRNA from 1 species